AGCAUUAUUAAAAGUUGUGGACUCGUUGUGGUCGCUCAUAACUAAGCGAGAAGAGGACCAUGGUGCUUUCCGAAGGAAUGAUUGAAGAGUCAGGCCGCAACAGCAGCGCCAUGGCAGACAGAAGACAACUGUUUGCUGAAAUGCGUGCACUAGAUCUGGACUCUAUCAGAUUGUCCACUUAUAGGACAGCAUGCAAACUGAGAUUCAUUCAGAAGAGGUGCAAUUUGCAUUUGUUGGAUAUCUGGAAUAUUAUAGAGGUUUUCCGGGAAAACAGACUCAACUCCAUGGACCUCAACACAGAGUUCUCAGUGUCAAAUUUGCAAGCAAUACUGUCCACCAUCUAUUACCAGCUGAACAAGCGCUUGCCCACAACCCACCAGAUCAAUGUAGACCAGUCCAUCUCGUACCUCCUCAACUUCCUGUUAGCGGCCUACAACCCGGAAGGUGUGGGAAAGAUGUCGGUUUUUGUGGUGAAGAUGGCUCUGGCUGCCCUCUGUGGAGGGAAGAUUUUGGAUAAACUAAGAUAUGUAUUUUCACAGAUAUCGGACCCAAACGGAGUGAUGAUAUACUCGCAGUUUGACCAGUUCCUAAGGGAGGUGCUGAAACUGCCCAUGACGAUUUUUGAGGGACCAUCUUUUGGGUACACUGAGCAGUCCACAAGAACCUGCUUUCCACAAGAGAAAAAGGUCUCGCUCAAUGUGUUUCUUGACACAUUCAUGUCGGAUCCUCCUCCUCAGUGUCUGGUUUGGUUACCGCUGAUGCAUCGGUUGGCAAACGUUGAGAACGUCUUCCAUCCUGUGGAGUGCUCCUACUGCCACAGCCAGAGCAUGAUGGGAUUCCGCUACCGGUGCCAACAAUGUGAUAAUUACCAACUCUGCCAAGAGUGUUUCUGGAGAGGCCAUGCCUCGGGCAGCCAUAGCAACCAGCACCAGAUGAAGGAGUACAUGUCAUGGAAAUCUCCAGCUAAGAAGUUGUCAGACGCUUUCAGUAAAUCUCUGAGUUGUGCCACCAGUCGAGAGCCUCCUUACCCGAUGUUCUCCGAUAACCCUGAGAAACCGCUCAACUUCACUCAUGUUGGGGACACAUGGCCUCCCAGACCUGUGAACAGUGGAAAUGAAUACAUGCUCUCUCACUCCAUGCCUUCCUCAGGAAACCCUUACUCCAGCAAAACAGGUGCUCACGAUGAGACGAAGCAAAUGAAGCUGUUUUCCCGGACGGCCCCAGAUCUUUUAAAAGGGAAAGGGGUUCAGUACAACCUCGAUAUUGCCGAUAGGCUCGCUGAUGAGCACAUACUUAUCGGACUUUAUGUGAAUCUCCUCCGAAAGGACCGUUCAUGUUUUCAGGAGAGCUGUAAAAACCAAGAUGAUGAGCAUUUCCUCAUUGCCCGUUACGCCUCCCGAUUGGCUGCUGAUGGAGCUGCAGCGAAGACCAGAGUCCCGGCGGACAUCUCUCUCUGUCUGGACUCCAAUAAACAGCAGCGACAACUUAUCGCUGAGCUAGAGAACAAGAACAAGGAGAUUUUGCAAGAGAUCCAACGACUGCGACAACAACAUGAAGAAGCUUCCCAGCCUCCGUUAGACAAAAGCCAACAAAACCCAACAUUACUGGCUGAACUGAGACUGCUCAGGCAGAGGAAGGAGGAGUUGGAGCAGAGGAUGUCGGCCCUUCAGGAGAGCCGUCGAGAACUCAUGGUCCAACUAGAGCAGCUCAUGCUUCUGUUGAAGGAAGAAGAGCUAAAAAGAGCUAACCAGGGCCCUGGCCCCUCCCCUCGUUCCUCCCCCAGCCACACCAUCAACACAUCCAUCCAAUCAGUGUCCGGCAAUACCACACCCAUCCCCAUGCCCAUCCAAUCAACAUCCGGCAAUACCACACCCAGUCAGACACCUCAGGACUCGCUCAUGGGCCUGGGAGGAGAGGUGCAGCAGGCCUUCGCUCAGGGCUCCAGAAGGAACUUAAGAAAUGAUCUCCUGGUAGCUGCAGACUCCAUAACCAACACAAUGUCUUCAUUGGUGAAAGAACUUAACUCGGAGGUGGGGAGUGAAACAGACAGCAUCUCUGACCUCACGUUCCCAACAUCAGACGUUCUCCACGCCAGGAGCGCUUCAAGAUCAGGGGCAGCAGGUGCGCUGGAGUCUGGGGAUUUCUAUGGACAUGAUCUAGAAAAGCAGCUGAACAGAGAGCUGAAGAUGGAGGAACGACUCAGACACACGCAGGAACAGGACAAGAACGUCCUGGUGACCUCACAAGAAUAGCUGUGUUAUAGUGAGUAAUGGGAGAUUGAGCGACUCUGAAGCACUGUGCAACCAGACCUGAGCUGGAACAUACCACACUUCUGACAACAUCAACAAUACUGUGGUUUCAUGAGAUUCACCCAAAACUUUGUACCUCUGCAUUCAGUGGAACAUACUAUUUGACUCCAAACGGCACACAGUUCGUUUACCAUGCUCUAUCAUUCAGCUUGCAAUAUUUUAAAUGUUUUAAGAAACAAUGAAAUAGGCAUUUUUAAGGCAAAAAUAUGUGACAGCAUCUGACACUACUGAAUGUGCUGUUAUGUCAAUCAAGGACUGACAAGAUGCCUUUUGGUGUAAGAUAUGUUGAUCUAGAACAGAAUUUUCAUGCUUGGAUAGGUUUUGUUAGUGAAUAUGAAUUCCUUGUAAAGACCGUCUCUAGUAGACGGGUUAAAGAAGACUGGUGUGGCUUUGACCAUCUCCAGACUCUUUCAUUGAUGUGUUGUCUUUGAUAUGCUACUGUCACACUGCAGCGCUCACAUUUUUCUCACUGUUUACUUUUUCCAGAACAAAAAAAGCAGCAUCCGCACCCUGCUGCCAAGCAUUGCACUUUUCAGUGAUUUUGCAUGGUCCUAAAAAAAAUAAAAAUAUUAUGUUGUACAAGUA